UGGGGAAUUGUUCACAAUGGGCGCAAGCCUGAUGACGCAACGCCGCGUGGAGGAUGAAGAUUUUCGGAUCGUAAACUCCUUUCGACCGAGAUGAAUUUCUGCCGACCUAAUACGUCGGCAGGGUGACAGUAUCGAGGGAAGCAGCCCCGGCUAACUCCGUGCCAGCAGCCGCGGUAAUACGGGGGGGGCAAGCGUUGUUCGGAAUUACUGGGCGUAAAGGGUUUGUAGGUGGCUUGCUAAGUCAGACGUGAAAUCCCUCAGCUUAACUGGGGAACUGCGUCUGAGACUGGCAAGCUUGAGUGCAGGAGAGGAACGCGGAAUUCCAGGUGUAGCGGUGAAAUGCGUAGAUAUCUGGAGGAACACCGGUGGCGAAGGCGGCGUUCUGGACUGCAACUGACACUGAAAAACGAAAGCCAGGGGAGCAAACGGGAUUAGAUACCCCCGUAGUCC
rnacentral:rRNA from 1 species